rnacentral:rRNA from 1 species
AUUGAACGCUGGCGGCAGGCUUAACACAUGCAAGUCGAGCGAGCGGCGGACGGGUGAGUCAUGUCUGGGAAACUGCCUGAUGGAGGGGGAUAACUACUGGAAACGGUAGAUAAUACCGCAUACCAUCAGAUGUGCCCAGAUGGGAUUAGCUAGUAGGUGGGGUAACGGCUCACAUAGGCGACGAUCCCUAUCUGGGCUGAGAGGAUGACCAGCCAAACGGGAACGGAGACACGGUCCAGACUCCUACGGGAGGCAGCAGUGGGGAAGAUUGCACAAUGGGCGCAAUCCUGAUGCAGCCAUGCCGCGUGUGUGAAGAAGGCCGUCGGGUUGUAAAGCACUUUCAGCGGGGAGGCGUUACUCGCAGAAGAAGCACCGGCUAACUCCGUGCCAGCAGCGGCGGUAAUAC